CUGAGGUUCAGAAGGGUGAGAUGACACAUUCAAGGUCACAUGGCUCAUUUGUGUUGGAGUCAGAAGUUUCCAGAUUUCUUGACUUUUAGUCCAAGGAGCAGUCCCUGUGCAUGUGUCAGAGUUGAACAAGCCAGCUGGACUGAGUGCCCAUGACCUCAGGGACAUCUUGGAAGCUAUAUGUAGAAGAUGGAAAAGCCUCUGUCAUCUCCAUCAAUUUAAUCUCCAAAUAACUACUUAGAAAAGGGACAGCUUACUAACUCCUUCAUUGCCCAGUACUAUUAGGUGAGUAAGAAAUAAACCUCUUUUAUAUUAGACAAAAUAUAUAUUUUGGGGCUUUUUUGUUCCAGCAGUUAGCUUGACCUCACUAUUAUGUGUAUUCUAUUACCAUAGACUAGGGAGUGCCUUUAAGUUUUAUCUAUUCAGAUAUUCUGCCUUUGUCAGUAACAGGAUGUCUACUGGGUUUCAUGAAGAAAUUGAGAUUGAGGAAAGGCAGAAAGAGGCUUCAAAGAAUAGUUAAUAUAUUUCAUAGCCACAUUUUCUCAGCUGAUAGUACUUCAUAAUGUUAAAACUUCUUCUCAAGUUCUUUGAGAUUGUUUCCCUUU
rnacentral:lncRNA from 10 species